ensembl:lncRNA
AGUUUUGUUAAAUAAAGCCUCAGGAGCAAAGGGCAAAAUCAUACUGUGGAGCCAGGAAUGAAUUACUGGACUUUCCAGUGAGCACAAGAGCCAAGUAGAGCCAGAACUGGAAUGGUGUGGGAGCCAACGAUUUGGCAGAGAAAAGGUGAAGGAAAAAGGAAUUUCUCCUUCGAGAAGAGAAUUGAGUGGAACAUUCACUCUGCGUCUUUUUCCCGGGGUUUGCAAGUUGUGAUUGAUGAAGUCAGCUCUCAAUAAACCUGUAGCCGAAUGGACAAAUAAAAAUAAGUUCAAAGAAGGAUGGAGAGAAGAAAAGGCUUGGACCAUAAAUCAUUCAUAGGAUUCCUCACAUGAGCAGCAUAGAAACAAGACCACCGCUUUCUCAGAAUCAUGUGUCCUCAUGACCAUGGGCAGUAGCUCCUUGAGCUUGUGGUUACAGACCUAUCCUCAAACUAAGUCCUCUCAUGAAAACAAAAUUUUCAGGCUUCACAGUCAUCCAGAACUCUAUCCAACAAAAGGCUGGCCCAGAACAGAUGAGUCUACACAAUCGAGGAAAGAGCUCUUGUUGCCCAACAGCUGAGAUGUACAACAUGCUGAGACCCGUCAUAGUGGAAGGCUUCCCAGUGCAGAGGACCAGCGAGGUUGUUCCUGAUGCAUGUGCAACUCUGGCAAGUGGAGAAAAGGGGACAGGGAUGUGCACUUGGCACAGGUCAUCGGCCUUGCCUGCCAGGAGUGCGUUGCUAAUAGGGAAUAGGGGUUGCAGGUUUAAGGAGAGGACUGAUGUCGUGGCCCUAGGUGGCAUCAUGUUCAGGGCUGGAGGCAUUGAGAUGAAAGGAUGUCACUCCAGAUGAGGAAGGGGCUGUGUAGCAGGGGUCUGGCCCAGGUUGUCAGUCCUCCCCGACCUGAGACGUUGAGGAUGUGCCAGCUUCUCCCGAGCGUGGCUGGCACGCGGCGGCAGCAGCAUUGCUGGCAGUCCCUAGAGCUCAGUGUUCUGAAUCUCACAGUGGACCGCGGUCUCUGUCAGAUGCUUCACCUUCCCUUUUACUUUCUCAGAAGCUGUCACUUACUCAGCCUAACCUUCAUGCUCACCUCAUUGGUGUUCUGGAAUGUUCCUACUGAGAGAGGUAGAGAGAUGCCAACAUAUGAGGGUCAGGUUCAGCUCUCUUGAGUCUCAUGUACCUGUUCCCUGGAUUCCAGAGUAGUUACAAAUCUCACAGUGGGGAUCAUGGUUUUGGAAUCAGGCCUUCCUGGGUCUUAAAAAAUACUCAAAAGGGGAAUUAUAGGAUGAUGUUUAGGGGCAUGGGCCUAGAACUCAGCCUGCCUGUGGAAGGAGUCCAGUUUUAUACCUGUAUAGCUAUCACUUGUCUCAUCUGCAGAUUGGAGACAAUGAUCUUUAAGUUAUAGGGAUUUUGUGAUGUUUUACUCAAUUAAUGUUUUUAUGAUAUUAGCACAGUGGUUGGCACUUAUCUCCUAUAAAUGUCAUCUGUUAGCAGUUAUAUAGUACAAGCAGUAGAAGUCGGGAAGUAGCACCAUGGUGGAAGGAAUAGUAGGGAUAAUGACAGUGUGGUAAUAGCAGUUAUCGUUGGCAGUGGUGGAAAUAACAGUAGUGGUGAUGGCGGUGUUGGUAGUAAUGGGGUAGUAAUGGUAGGAGUUGUAGAAUGGCAAUGGUAGUGACAUGAGGAGACUCCAACCAUCAUUAUCUUGGGGAAAUGUCUAUACCUCAUCUUAACCGAAUACUGGAGCAAAAGCUUUUUCUCACAGCUGUGAUGAGGUUAACAAACAGUCCGAUUCCACAGACAUUUGCUGAGCCUCUGAGUGUAUGUGAAACUGCCUACAGCCCAGAAUCCAUCCCGUGGAAUUUCACCUAAUGUUAGAUAAGUUUGAAUGUGAAACCCCCUCAUGGACUCCAUAACCAGGUGUUUUCCUCCAUGAUUCUUUCCUUUCAGACAAAGCAAUGGCCUUGAGGAAGGAAGCCAGACUGCUAAAGCUAAACAAUCUAGUGUAAACCAAGGGUGGGACCACGCCAAAGUGAGUCCUCAUGAGCUACCACCAUGCCUGGAAUGACAAGUAUUUCAGUAAGUAACGUUUGCUACUGGAUAUCUGUUGGAUGCAUAAUGAAUGAAUGAAACUGGACUGCAUCAGUAAAAGACCAUGAAGUUCCUAGGAGGCUCUCUCUCCCCCUGAGAAAGGUGAUGAGACUUUGGCUUGGUCUUUGGUAAGGACAGGAAGGAAAGGAAGUCCACUCAGGGCAGGAGUGCUCUGAGGCUCCCUUUGUGAGUGCGGGGAAAUGUGCUAUGUAACAGCUCCUCUGUCUCCAUGUUUUCACUCUUAGCAAGCCAGACAGACCCAGGACAUCCGUGGGUGGGAAUUUAUUUUGGCAGCUCAAGUGAUGAAGGGGAGCCAAGAGCCUGAGGCUGCUCCGUUAAACACCACAUGUUAAUCUCAAUCUAUUUUUGCGUAAUCCCAGUAAACAUUUUGAUCUCAGGAAAGGGUAAUCCAAGAACAAGCAGCUGCUGUGAGCGGCUUAUUCCUGGCACGGCUCAGUAAUAAAGGAGAAUAUAAGUGAAGUCUAGAGAGGAAA